rnacentral:rRNA from 1 species
AACGAACGCUGGCGGCGCGCCUAAUACAUGCAAGUCGAGCGAGAAGACGUAGCAAUACGUUUGUAAAGCGGCGAACGGGUGAGGAAUACAUGGGUAACCUACCCUCGAGUGGGGAAUAACUAGCCGAAAGGUUAGCUAAUACCGCGUACGCUCCUUGGACUUCGGUUCAGGGAGGAAAGCGAUACCGUGGGUAUCGCGCUCUUGGAUGGGCUCAUGUCCUAUCAGCUUGUUGGNGAGGUAACGGCUCACCAAGGCUUCGACGGGUAGCUGGUCUGAGAGGACGAUCAGCCACACUGGCACUGCGACACGGGCCAGACUCCUACGGGAGGCAGCAGUGGGGAAUCUUGCGCAAUGGGCGAAAGCCUGACGCAGCGACGCCGCGUGAGGGAUGACGGCCUGUGUAC